rnacentral:rRNA from 1 species
CAACCUGCCCACCACUUGGGGAUAACCUUGCGAAAGUAAGACUAAUACCCAAUGAUAUCUCUAGAAGACAUCUGAAAGAGAUUAAAGAUUUAUCGGUGAUGGAUGGGGAUGCGUCUGAUUAGCUUGUUGGCGGGGUAACGGCCCACCAAGGCAACGAUCAGUAGGGGUUCUGAGAGGAAGGUCCCCCACAUUGGAACUGAGACACGGUCCAAACUCCUACGGGAGGCAGCAGUGAGGAAUAUUGGUCAAUGGACGAGAGUCUGAACCAGCCAAGUAGCGUGCAGGAAGACGGCCCUAUGGGUUGUAAACUGCUUUUAUAAGGGAAUAAAGUGAGAGUCGUGACUCUUUUCGCAUGUAUCUUAUGAAUAAGGACCGGCUAAUUCCGUGCCAGCAGCCGCGGUAAUACGGAAGGUCCGGGCGUUAUCCGGAUUUAUUGGGUUUAAAGGGAGCGUAGGCCGGAGAUUAAGCGUGUUGUGAAAUGUAGAUGCUCAACAUCUGCACUGCAGCGCGAACUGGUUUCCUUGAGUACGCACAAAGUGGGCGGAAUUCGUGGUGUAGCGGUGAAAUGCUUAGAUAUCACGAAGAACUCCGAUUG